AGUAUAAGAGUAAUGGCGGACAGAAGGGGCAGACCCCACAGAGCCUCAACGAUCGCCAUUACCGUCUUCUCCAAGUCCUCUCCGCUCCUCCAAGCACUCUUUCGACGACGAUGAAGUAGGAGAAGCGAAGCCAUCGAUUGUCAACGAAGACGAUGAUUCUGAUUCUUUGCUCGGUAUUUCUUUAUUUAUUUUCCCCUUUUAUAUCUUGUACGCCAUGUGCACGUAUAAAUUUCUGUGUUUUUGUUGUUUUAUUAUGCGGUUCAUUUUGAGUGGGUUUGUAGAGAAAGAGAAGCCGGUGAAGGUAUGCGGCGUCUAUGUUCAGUUUCGACUCGAGAUAAUGAUAGAGCUGAUAAAAAAUUUUAUACACUCUUCCAUUUCAAUUUCAUUAUAUGGUUGGGUUUAUCGACCGUAUUGUCGAUUUUCGUUGUUGGUUAAUGAAAAUCGACAUUACAGUGGAUUGACCCAAUUAUAUAGGAUAUAAUGGUGAAGAAUACAUGUGGUGAAUCUCGAUUAGUCGGUUAAAGAUCUAUAGUUGAUUUAAGAUUCAUUGGUUUUUUUGUGCAGAAGUUAAUACCUAUUUUGAAUUUUAUGCCUGCAUAAAUAGUUUAUGCUGCAAACUGGAUUAAUGGAAUGUUUGGAAUAUUUUUUCUCUGCGUUGAAUUUGUUUCUCGAUAAUGUUUUUUUUGCAGGGGCUUUUUUUAUUAGCAGGAGUAGAUGCUUGUAUGAGAUUUCCCCUAGUAAAGGGACUGUUUAGAUGUUUAUAGAAUCUGCUGGUGAUAUUAGUUUUCAUCUUUGAGUGUUUGGCUAUUGAUGUGGAGAUUUUAACUUAAUAUUAUAUCUUGUAUCUCGUCACAAAUGAAAUGAACAUUUACUGUUAAAAAAAAAGUUUACAAGUUUGAUAAAUUUAGAUAAUGAAGAAAAAAAAAAAAAAAAAAAAAAA